rnacentral:rRNA from 1 species
UACGGAGGGUGCGAGCGUUGUCCGGAAUCACUGGGCGUAAAGGGCGCGUAGGUGGCCCGUUAAGUGGCUGGUGAAAUCCCGCGGCUCAACUGCGGGCUGCCGGUCAUGACUGGCGAGCUAGAGCACGGUAGGGCAGAUGGAAUUCCCGGUGUAGCGGUGGAAUGCGUAGAGAUCGGGAAGAAUACCAGUGGCGAAGGCGUUCUGCUGGGCCGUUGCUGACACUGAGGCGCGACAGCGUGGGGAGCAAACAGG